UACGGAGGGGGCUAGCGUUGAUCGGAAUUACUGGGCGUAAAGGGCGCGUAGGCGGCCUUGUAAGUCGGAUGUGAAAUUCCGGGGCUCAACCCCGGAGCUGCAUUUGAAACUGCAAGACUAGAGUACAGUUAGGGUAAACGGAAUUCCACGUGUAGCGGUGAAAUGCGUAGAUAUGUGGAAGAACACCGGUGGUGAAGACGGUUUACUGGGCUGUAACUGACGCUGAGGCGCGAAAGCAUGGGGAGCAAACAGG
rnacentral:rRNA from 1 species